CUUUGUGAUCUUCCACAGCUUUCUUGAACUGCAUCUUCAGAUAGAUGUGCCUUCUGCUUGCAUGGGUACGUGCAGUUCAAUAAAGCUGUGGGAAACUGCAGAGA
rnacentral:pre_miRNA from 1 species